ensembl:lncRNA GSCAR glioma stem cell association long noncoding RNA
GUGAGCCACCGCGCCCGGCCUCACAAAAGUGUUUUUGAAGGCUCCAUUCCCGAAGACUGAGUGAGGUAUUCGAUAUCCUCCUCCCUCAUUGAAAAGUUGUGUAACAGGAAUCUAAGUUCAUGCCGUUUGAUUCCCAAGACUUCUCCAAGCCGCACUGUAGAGCAGGAAAAUCGACUAAUAUUACUGCUCAGAUUAUCAUCAUAGUGGCCAUUUAAGAUGGAAUGCGACAUCAAGGGUAAACUAGGCAUUGAAAAAUUCACUUUCAGACCUCCCUUCCGUGCCUCACUCUCCGGCCAGUCCUUUUCCCCAUUCGCCAUUCAGGCACUAAAAUUUUGCAGUUUGAGAAAAAGAAAAGUGAGGAAAACACAAGAGAAAAAACGCGAGGCUUUUCGGGUUCUUUUUUAUAUAUAGAAUAGCUUAUAUAGUCCAAUUUUAUUUUCUAAAUCGCCCCACACAUAAAACGUAUAACUCUAGCCAAGAUGAAGGAAAAAAGAAAUGUAAUAGUUGGGAGCAGAGAGAAAUAGCCAGCACCACCCCCCAGCGCAGAGCCGGGGCGCGGGGCCUCGGGUCGCCCCCUCCGGCUCCUCUGACCCGAGACUCGCCAGGUCUUGGACAUCCUCAGCCUGCGACACCGUUCCCAGGACGGCUCAUCACCUAUUAUCUCGGACUCCAGAUUUUGUGUAAAAAGCGUGAGGCUGCUCCUCAUUGACACCCACUUAGAAGUUGGUUGAUGAAGACUGCAGUGAGCACUCUCAGCAAGGGUAAAACUGGCACAUUUGGGCCUGAAAUGGGGUCCUCGGGGCCUGGUAGGCUCAAGUAUGCCCUUGGUAAUUUCCAGCUUACAGAGAAAAGAAGAGCGUUCACUUUGUUUCUGCUGGCAGGGUGAAAAGGGGCAGCUACGUGGCCAAAGGUUACACGUUUUCCCUCACUGCGAACUGUCAGCCUUAUUCCGAGUAUAGCCACCACUGACUUCUGACCCUGGACGGUGUCAUUCACCGGGAACUCUUAACGUCUCCGGCCGAGAAAGGAGGGGACGGUAGCUAACUCUUUCGGCGGAGCUGAACCCCUACCCCCUCCCUCCUGUGACCCGAGCCUACUGCGAGACCUGGACACCGCCAAGUGGGGCAACGUUUCGCUCUUACAGCAGCUUCCCGACCUCUGCUAACUCCCAGGCCAUUUCAGAAGGCGCAAAGGGGAGAAGGAAAAGUUCAGAGAGCAAACGUUGCUCUCUAGCCUCCCCCAACCUCCAGUUCCUCUCUUCCUUCCCCUGCUGUCCAAACUUCAUACUGUCCACCAGGGGAGACUGCCCCCCGACUCGGCUGUCCCUCACUAACGCGGUGGUCCCCGACCUAGGGUCGCAGAUGCACUUCCCGAGGCACAUGCGGGCGCAACAAGGUAACUGCGCUCCAGGCGUGGAACCCCAGUCCUGAGCGAUGUGAAACCAACCCCAAGCGGGCUGUGCUCACAGUUUGGGAAAAGGUAAUGUCUCUGAUCCCCCCAUAUCCACCCCUCCCCCAACCCUUGAGGACAGAUUCGGGUACCGCAAAACCGCCAGGCACAGAAGGGAGGAGAGCUGGGACGGACAGGCUACUCCCGGGGAGGGGAUCACCUCCACGUUCCCGCUCCAAGCGGCUGGUAGCUGCUAGUAAUUCAGACUUCUGGCCUCGGAGGAAGAGUGCCAGGGAAGAAAGAGACUAAGAAAUCCUCAAACGCCCGUAGAACAAGACCCGGGAGAAGUGCCCAAGUGGGCGCGGCCGUCGGCGAGGUCAGUUUAGCCUGUACUGGACCGUGGAACCCUGAGCGCUGAGGCUGUGGGGUCGCGGGAUUCUACUGGGCCUCGCCAGCUUCCACAGUCUGCUGCGGUCUGUGGAAUGGGGAAGGAUAAAAUACAGACUUUGGUUUAUUUUAAAAAAUGGUAUUCUGCCUGAACUAUCAGGUCCAUGGUUUGCUUUUGGCGCUUGCAGAAGCACCAGGACGAUCUUUCCAAAAAUUUCUGCAGUAGUUUAACUAACCAAUGAAAUAAAUGAAGGUUAAAAAACCAAAACAGA